GAAUCUGUGUCUGACAGAAAGGCAUGAUUUACUAAACUUCCACUUUGGUGCUUCUCAUAUGAUGUUCUAUUUCCAGGCUUAAAUUCAUGCUUCAGUAUGGUUGCCAGGAAACUGGAAACACUGGUUGUUGCAGGCACAAAGUACCUUAAAGACACAGGUAUGCCUAAGAAUGUUGCUGAUAAUCUAUUUUUCUACAACAGUGAUAAGGGAUGAGUUCAGCAAUGACUGCUUGUUGUCAGCUAUCUCAUGGGCCAAUAUUGAUAAAGCCCUUAAGAAACCUGGGGCUUUGAAAGAUUAAGGACUUUGCUCAAGACAAGAGGACUACUAAAUUAUGUAGAACUGAAACUCCAGCCGCUGACUUCAAAGCAUGGUUUUAUACUGAAUUGUCCUAAAUAGAACCUCCAUGGAAACUGAGG
rnacentral:lncRNA from 1 species